UUCUGGGUAAUCAGCAGAAGUGGGAGCAGAUGUGCGGAGCCAAUCAGUCACUUCUCCCUCACUACUUAACCGGACUCCACUCUUCUGUCGAUGCCGGAUCGUAAAAGCUUCUCGUCAGUACUGAGCCAGUUAUUCUUUCCACCGUUGCCUAAGAACACCAGUAAUUUGUUCUGUUCUCCUUCCAGUCAGGACUGCUUUCCGUUGGAGUUCAUCCGCCGACUGGAUUUCAGACUCACCUGGUUCAUCUUCAACCUUCACCUCCGCCAUCUUCCAACCAGCUCCAUCUUCUGCCCUCACCAGCCGUCUCAGCAGCAGAUGCAUGUCCGCGCCGCCUCCGAGCCUCUGUCCCCUGCUUCUCAGUUGCCAGCUGAAGCACCGGUCCGAGCAGGUUCAGUUUGAGUUCUUCGUUAUGGUACUGUUAGUGAGUCCUAUGCAGUAGGUUUUGUAGUGUGGUUUUUGCACAUAGUUGUAGUCUUUGUAGUGGUGAUUUACAGAGGGUCAAAACCCAUUUAGGGACAUUAAUUUGUUAGCGAAUCAGGUUUGUUGAAAUUUUGGAUUAUAGGCAUUUAGAGUAUAGGUGGCGUUUUGACCAACCCUUUCCUUAGCAAUUGUGUAAAUGUAAAAGUUUUUGCAUCAUAGAAAUAUUUGUAGUUCUUUGAUCUAGUAGAGAUCGUCUGUGUUUCCCAGCAUUGUUCUCUGGCCCAGGUAUUAGUACGGUGGCCGAGAGGUGCAAACCAAAUUUACAUAAUGCAACACACUUUUACAACCUCCAAGACAAACUUACAAGCGACAAAACACUUUUACAAGUCCAAAAACACUUAUACAAAUCCAAAUUUAACCGGAAAGGGAAUGUCCCAACACCGGGGUUGAACCGGAAGUGACAACGAGGAGCGGCUAAUGCACUCUGUCGGUCUGAUCUGCGCCAUUUAAACACUCUAAAGACCGACCACACGAAAAACAAAACCGCGUCAAUCGGUUCAUAUGUUCCCCACAAAACGGGCAAAACAUCACCCGCUCGCUGUCCAUCUUGGUUCACCAUCAACAACAACCAAAAGUUGCAUUAGCCGCUCCUCGUUGUCACUUCCGGUUCAACCCCGGAGUUGGGACAUUACCUUUCCGGUUAAAUUUGGAUUUGUAAAAGUGUUUUUGGACUUGUAAAAGUGUUUUGUCGCUUGUAAAUUUGUCUUGGAGGUUGUAAAAGUGUUUUGCAUUAUGUAAAUUUGGUUUGCACCUCUCGCCCACCGUAUAUUAGCGAUAGCUCUUUUGUUAUCUACUAGUCACUAGAGGCGCUAUCAAGUUUUAGUUGUAAUAGCUGUUUUGUAGUUCUGACUGUCUCCGUUUUUCGAGGUCUCUGGGGGUUGUAGUUCUUUAAGCUUCUCCUGAUUGUAAAUAAAAGUUUGUUUGCCGCAAUUUCUGGACUCAUCUCGUUCCUGCAUCUGAGCCUCAAGAAAAAGCCUAACAUUUCUAGAUGUUAUGGAGGCCUCAGAUCACAAACAUUUCUUAUACCAAACAUUUUUUUAAUGUUCUUGUAAUGUGAUAUAUUAACUAAAAUGGAACAUUUUGGCCACAGAGUCUAUCAUGAAACAUUUUUAGAACAUCUUUAGUUAUCCUACUUUAAAAAUGUGAAACUCCCCAAUGGACACAUUAGUAAAACUUUGCAAAAGUUCUAUGUAUGUUAGGUUGAGCAUUUAGAAGCUAAAGAGUCAGGAAGUUCCCCAGCGUGUUGAUGGAGACCAAAAUAGAGCCAAAAGGAGAGAGGUUGCUGCACUUAAUUCUGUCAGCUUGCCAGAAACACAACUCCAUAUGAAUACUAAUGUACCUUAUGCAACGCCUCCUACUCGGUGUGCAUCAGCUAAAAGAGAUCUAAUGUUAAAUGGAAUAUUUUACUUCACAAUUCAAGCUGCAGAAAGUAGCAGGGGAAGCAGUUUGACGUGGUGUAGAAAGUUAAAAUUGUGCACAUUUGAGCUUAAAACAGAAUUAUCUACGAAAGAACCUCCACGUACUUUCUAAACAAGGUUUGUUUGUUUCGGGUAGACACACAAGUUGUAAAUGUCCUCUAACGACUGGGCAGCUAUGACGGUUUAACAAACUAAGAAGGUCAAUAUUUACCGCCUCGCAAAAACAUGACGGUUUUCCACAGAAAGGCAUACAGUGCAGCACAUGAAAAGUCCAUUUAACAAUCAUAAAUUAAUACCGAAUACAUAUUUACAAUGGAUUAUGAAGCAGAAAUGUAUCAACAGAGAUAACUAAACUCAAACUAGAUUGUUGUAAUGAUUACUACCACUUUUAGUAUUAAAAUUAUACAGUUUUCUCUCGUCUGUAGGCCUAAUUAAUUUAAAUGACAAAAGACAAGUUUGACAAGUUUGAAAAAAACUUUAUUAUAUUAAGUUUAUACUCAUUAAACAUCAGUUUGUUCUCUUCCUACCUAAAAAAUUGGAUAAAAGAAAGCACUAUGAAGACUGGUUUACACAGAGUGAAAGGAGAGAAAAUCUCUGGAUCAGGAAAACGGCUGAAAAGGACAGGAUUUGAUUACAGGCUCUUAAAAUGGAUCUUUGUUGUCCUGCUUUGUAAAGAGGACAAUAGGCUGCUAUGCUUUUAUCUCCAGAAUUCUGCAACACACACAAACCCUGUGAGCACACUGAAAUAAACCAAUUCAUUCAUUACCUUCUUGGCUAUAGCAUGUAAAUGCUGUGCAGUUUAUUCCACAGUGUAAAAAAAAAAAAAGUUUAAAAAAAAAAAAAAAUCUCUUAAAAAAAAAAAGAGUAAAAAUCUGACAGCAAGGCCGUCAAAAUAAUACGAUAAAAACGGUGGAAUUCUACAACGUUCAAAAACUGUGACAAUGACUGCAAAUAUCUUUAAAAUAAUUACAUUUAGUGGGUUUAAAUGCAGUAAAACUGUAAUUUUGAGGUUGCACACUGUAAGGAAAACAAACUAAUAGUUGUAAAAAUACAGAUUUUUGAUGUGAACAUUAUCAGAUUUACAGUUUGUCCUUUUUUGUGAUUUACUACAUAUUAUCUGUAAGUUAACAAAAAGGGAAUGUCUGCAAAUUCAAUCCUAAAAUACAUAUUUUUUCUUGUACCAACAGCAAAUAUGUGUAAAGUAACAAUAUUUUUGCCAUUUUAACCCUCGUGUCAUCCUGUGGGUCAAAACUGAUCCAUUAUAAAAUUUGAAAAUGUGAGAAAAAAAAUAUAUUUUCACAGUGAAAUUUCUGAUGUCCAUAUUUUCAACAUUUUUUUCUUUUUUUUAAAAAAAUGUUUUGGUACAAAAAAGAAAUGUUAAAAAAAAUGUUUCUUUAAGAACAUUAAAAAAAAAUCUACCAAAAUCCAGCGAAUUUCGCUGGAUUUUGGUUGAUUUUUUUUGUGAUUGAUCUUAAAGAAAAUAUCAGAAGUUUUACUGAUAUAUAUGUAAUCACUUUAGGUAUUUUUAGGAUUUUUGGGGAAGAUUUUUACUCAUUUUUUGAAAAUAUUUACAAUAAUUUGGGGGAUUUUUUUUUUUUAAAUAAAACAUUUAAAGGAAAUUUUUAAGGAAUUACUGGAAUUUUCUUCCUGAAGAUUUAGCAAAUUUUCAGAAAUUAGGAGCAUUUUUUUGCUGAAUUUUUGGAUUUUUUCAGACAAGGAAACAUUAUUUUUUGGUGCCUGUAAAUGAGGACAACGGGAAGGUUAAGUCAGGGAGUAAAUGUGUCUCCUCAUACGACAAUGAGAAGAUCAAUAGGUGAAUUUCUCUAAAUUUUCUCCAAAGCUAAACCCGAUUCAUUUGUAAGCCUGCGUGUGUGUCCACCUAGUUAGUGAUGCGAGGACAAAAGUUCAGUAACACACAGACGCAAUUACAUCUAUGCUUCUGACGUGUCCACACAUACGCGAUUGUUUCUCAACUCUUGUUUGUUCUCUUAUCGGUUCGUGAUAACGGAGUCAGUGACAUUCCUGAGAGGACGCAUUCAACUCAACCAGAAUUAUGGCCAAGGGGGAAAGAUUAAUGCUAGUGAAUCGGAUGCAACAUAAUUUGCAGUUCAGUGAUCUAGAAAUUGUCUCAUUUUCUUAUUGAACUUCAAUCAUACGGCUGUUCAUCCUCCCUCACUGCUGCUCCUUCACUUAUGAUUAUUGUCGUAGCUUUCCUCACACCUCCUUUAGAAGCAGAGAGCGUCCUCUUCGUCUCGCCAAGUGGGCCAAACUCAGAGUGCCAAAACUUUCACAUUAGCGGCGCUGGUGCAGCCAGGGAACACCAGGCCCUGCUGAAGGAAUUUCUACUGGGUCUCUAUCCUCUGUAACAGACUCCUGAUGUUAAUUUUAUUGUCAUGCUCUGUGUCGGAGAGCUUGUUCAAAUGUCAAAGAGCAGUUGAAGGACAUCAAAAUUUAUCAUCCAGGUGACCUUUAACUCAACCAGCUCGCUGCACAGCUACAAGCACUGAUUUCUGGUGUGCUAAUCUAGUCCUGCUGCCUGAAUUUACUGCACUUUACCUGCAGCUGCUAAUAUUAAAAGUUUUUGCUUCGGCUUCCCUCUUCGCUGCACACUAAGCAGCAGCAGGAUGGACAGACCAGAAACGUUUAUUUUACGGUAAUGUGAUGGUUCUGCUAACUAUUACAUAACAGAGUCCACCUUCCAACUGUGUCAGUGACAGAGUCUGGCCCAGUGUGCAUUAUCUCAGGACUGAUAAAAACUUUUAAGAUUUAAACUCAAGUCCAAACAUGCACUGGAUUGUCCGAAGAAGGGCAAAGCAAGUUCUCGCAUUUCCGCUUUUACAACAAAAGUGAUACGGCAGGUUUCCCAGAGACUAUGGGUUGAGGAGGAAUUGGAAGUUUGUCGGCUUAGACCUGGUGUCAUUCCAUCAGUGUUAAACUUCCCGGCUCAUCUUGGAAGAGUACGUGCCAGAAAGACCACGACCAAGCAGCCUUGAGAUCUUAGGCAGCGUCUCCCUCAGACCAAAGAACUACAGACUCUUCACAACCUGCUCAAACUCUUGGUACAGGACCUCACCACACGGGUCAAGAAGGUUUCCGUCUCAUUUCUACUCUGAAGCUCACCUUGUCCUGCUCAAACUGCUGACAAAUGUUUCUGCUGCUCUAAAGUCUGGUCUCCAGAACUUCCUAAAAACUCUCAAAGUCUCUUCUGCUGCAGGUUGCUUUGUAGAACUGUUCCAGAAAACCUCACUAAACCACAUGGAGGGGCCUCAACAUAGUCGUCCAAAUGAAACCAUACAAAAACCAAACUAGCACAACCCAAAAGCUAAAGUCUCCUGCAGCCUACCAGAGAACCUCUGAGAACAGAGAAUCAGGACAGGAACUCUUACCUUCUGGACAACCAACAGUUCUCAAGAAUACAGAAUGUGUCUGAGCAAAAACCUCUAAAGACUCACUACAGCCAAGAUAAAGACACAACUCAGCUGCAGCAAAUCCACUAAUCACUGCACACAUUAGCACCAUGUGCCAACUGUGGCUAAGGAACCACCUUUACCAAGACAACUAUCCAGUACAAAGCCCUAAAACAAACCAAGAAACACAUUAAAGACGAUUUUACUGCUGGAAGCUGCAAGCCAACGCCUAAAGAACAAACUAAAGCAAUGGAACCAAACCCGGUUCUGUGGUGGAGAGAAGCAGAGGAAAUGUUUGUCUGCAGCUAAAUAAAGCAGGAAGACACUGAGCUGCUCAGGUGUUCCUGAUAACACCAAGCAGCCACCUGGACAGCCAAUAGGAACACAGCUUCCUGGAAGUCCAGAGGGCUGGGUUAGUCAAGGAAAUUUAGUUUCAAGUUGAGGCAGAAAGUUAACAAAGAAAGUUGAAAACCACCUUCUGAUCCCUGAAAUCUCUGAGUUUUCACACAAAGAACACCUGAACAUGUCAAACUGGUUCCAUAGUAGAACCAUCAUUGUAAAAACGUCAUAGUAUGGUGUGUUGCUCAAAAAACAUUAGGACCCGGCUGUCAGGGGACAAACAUGUAAGAAACAUGAGAACAGAGAGAACCCAACCAGUAGGUCACAGUUUAUCAUCCCCCAGUCAUCUCCUGAAGUCCAUAUGGUGAGAGACAUCAGUAUCUGGUUGUUCAUUUACCAGAGGAUGCUUAUAAUCAUGCUGAUGUGGUCUGUACUCUACAGUAUUUUAGUGACUCCAUAAAUGCCUAAGUUGUUUUUUAAAAUGCUUUUUAGUUUUUAAUAAACAUUUAACAGCCUAUAUGUAAUCAAUAAAUGGCCUUUGCCUAUCUUAAGAAAAAUUCACUCAGAACUCUGAUAUUAACAGUACUAAAUAAAUCAAUAAAUACAUGCAUAUACACAAAAAUAAGUUAAUACUGUGUUAAGAUUUAGAUUAAAAAAAAGUUGUUUAUGUUUUUGCAGAAUCCAGUAUUACUCACUGGUUGGUCAUUACAUUUUGUUAGUUUGAUUUCACUGUUUAAAAUGAUGCCACCUCUUUUCAGACAGAACCUGUGAUAAUAAAACAAUACAAAAUUUUUAGUUCCGUGUUAAUAAAGCACUUAAAGCUUUAAGUAUGGCUAAAUGCUUUUUUCAAAAUUAAAUAUAUCACUCCUUAGGUGGUAGUGGCCCCAAGUUCAGUAAAGUUGGAGUAAAGUAAGUAUUAGUUUUUGGAUUGCUCAUAAGAUAAAGCAUAUCGUAUACACUAACAGUAUUAUAUUUUUGUUCUAUAGUGUACAUGUGAACAUAGAAAAUACUUCUUAUUGAUUGAAAUCUUUGUGUCAGUUUUGAUUCAUUUCGUUUGCUUUUUUGUCUUUAUACAUCUUUCUUAGCUGACCUGUAGCAAACUACCCCUCCAAACACUCAUAAUGCCUCUUUCCUGGCAUCUUCCAGUGCAGAAUCACACACACAGCAUGCACACAAUUACUAUAGUUAACCAUCAACAGGACAAUUCUGGGCACUCAGACAGCUGUAAGAGAGGAAAUGUUCUCACAGUGUAAAUAUUAGUCCAUUAUGAUGUUAUAUCAAAACCUUUCAACAAGAUGUGUGUGUGCAUGUCAAUGUUUGUGGAUCACUAAUUCCCAUCUUUCUAAGGCUCUGCUUGAAUGUGAGACUGCUUGCCAAUGGACAACAACUUAGCUGACCUUGUUUAAGAAUAUUUACUUUAUUUUGGGAAAUAUACUUAUUCCCUUUCCUGCAGUUAAAUUAGUUGAGAGACUAAUGUUCUAUUCAUCUGUUGAACAUGAAGCUAGAACCAGAAGUUGGUCGACUUAGCUUAGCACAAAGACUGGAUAAGGGGAAACUGCUAGCCUUUCUAUACCAGAAACUCUAAACCUACAUGCUCUAAAACUUAUCUUGCCAUCUUUAUAACAUGUCAUCACAAUUAACAUGUUAUAUAUCCUGUUUAGCACCU